AGAGUUUGAUCAUGGCUCAGACUGAACGCUGGCGGCAUGGCUAAAGCAUGCAAGUCGAACGAGCCCGCAAGGGCAAGUGGCGGACGGGUUAGUAAUACGAUCGAACGUACCCCGAAGUGGGGGAUAGCGGCGGGAAACUGCCGGUAAUACCCCAUGUGCUCUUCGGAGGAAAGAUUUAUCGCUUUGGGAUCGGCGAUCGUCCUAUCAGCUAGUUGGCGGGGUAAAGGCCCACCAAGGCGAAGACGGGUAGCAGGUGUGAGAGCACGACCUGCAACAUCGGAACUGAGAUACUGUCCGGACUCCUACGGGAGGCUGCAGCAACGAAUCUUCCGCAAUGGGCGCAAGCCUGACGGAGCAAUGCCGCGUGUGGGAUGAAGUGCCUCCGGCAUGUAAACCACUGUCAGAAGAUAGAAACACUGAUCAUCUUCAAAGGAAGUGGCGACUAACUCUGUGCCAGCAGUCGCGGUAAUACAGAGGCCACGAGCGUUAGUCGGAAUUACUGGGCUUAAAGGGUGCGUAGGCGGUUAUUCAAGCGUCCUGUGAAAGCCUCCCGCUCAACGGGAGAACAGCAGGGCGAACUGGGUGACUCGAGGUUGGUAGGGGCUCACAGAACAGUCGGUGGACCGGUGAAAUGGGUAGAGAUCGACUGGAAUGCCGAUGGCGAAGGCGGUGAGCUGGGCCAAAUCUGACGCUGAGGCACGAAAGCGUGGGGAGCAAACAGGAUUAGAUACCCCGGUAGUCC
rnacentral:rRNA from 1 species